CAGCGGAAACUUUUGAAGUUAGUGUGUGUUCUAUGUGAAAAUACAGCUUCAAGUCAAAUUCAUCAUUGCAUCUCCUCUCCACUCAGGAAUUUCAAACUUAACGAAAAGUAAGUCAUUCUGAGCCAUAAUGCAUCUCUACUUUUGACAUUUUCUUGAAUCCCAGCUCCUCCUUUCCUCUUCUCUGUCUGUUCCCUCUUUCUUUGUUUUUGGAGUUCAAAAUUGCAAAUUUUGGGAUGUAGUUAUUCCCUUAUCACGUCUUCUACUCAGAACCCAUAAAAGAUUGAAAGAAGUUUCGGUACGCUGUUACUAAAAACUUAGGAUAUACAUUUUGGUGGCAAAAGAUGAAAACAGAAGUGCGGAUGAGGCUCCUCUUACGGGAGAAGUCACUUAACACGACGUCACACAAACUUGUUUCUAAGAUCAGUGAAGAGCGGCAUGGAAGCUGCAGGGAAAUGAAUCGAAACGAGGAAAAGGGAAAUGUAGAAACAAGUUUUUAAAGAAGUGUCAAGAAAGUAGAGCUUGUAAGCAACACGCAAAACAAAGGGUGACUGUUGACCAUGUGAUAUCCAUGUCAGUGGGGACUAAUCCUAUCGGCCGAUCUACGUGGAAUUAUUGGUAUGUCAUUUUUUCUUCACAACUACAUAUUUAAACUCAUACGUGCCCAAAGAUAAAGACUCACUUAAUGGGUACGACAAUCGAUAGCAGAGCUAAAAAUUUGCAUUUACAAGUAAUUGCUACAAUAAACUAUAAACAAAAUAAAAUUAUAACAUAUUUACAUGCAAAUAUAAUAAAUUUUGUAUUUUUAUUGAAUUCAAAGUAAAAAUAAAUAAAUUAUAAUUUACAUGUGCAAAUAAAUUGCAACAUUCAAAUUAUAAAAUUGAACAAGUAAAUUAAAUUUACUAAACAAUUUUAUUAGUCAUUUGUCCCCCAAAUUACUAUCUUUCCUUUUGAGUUCUCCCUCAAAUAACUUCCUAUCAAUUUUGGGAUACUACUCAAUCACUAAUAAUACCCAAUUUAUUAUUAUUUUAUAUUUUCAUCACUCUCAAUACUAAUUAUAAUAUUUUUUUCACCAUUUUUAAUAUAAUUAUAAUAUUUUUUUUUUCAUACUUUCAAUACACUCAACAACUUUAUCUUAAAACUCGUGUUUCUCCCUCCUAGGAAGUUAUUUAGGGGGACGAAAUGAGAAAUUUGAUUUACAAAAAGAAUUAAAAAUUAAAAAAAAUUGCAUAUUUUAGGAGGUUAACAUGCGGUUUUCGAUCUGCCGGUUAACCGUCGGUUUUUAGUUCGCUACAAAGAGGUUUGUAACCAAAUCGGGUAUACAGUGAUUUCGGUUCUGGUUCCAACUCGUGGUCAAUGGUUUCAUGUUCAGAUCAUUGAUCACAGGCUGAUUCACCUGAUUCCAAUUGGCCCUAAACGUCACUAAACAUAGAUAUUUACGAAACCUAUCGAAAACACGAAUGACGCAAGAAAAUUAAAGAAAAGUAUGAUGAGAGACGAAGAGAAGAAAUUUAUUUUACUCUAAAUUCAAUAUGUCUCUAAUGUUUGUGUUGUGAAAAAGUAAAAGGGGAAGGAGGGUAAAAUAAUUUAAAAAAUAGUAGUAAUAUUUAAUAUUUUAUAAUGCUAAAAAAAAAUUUGGGGUUAUAGGUUGUACCCCAUUGCACCAGCUUCAUCUAUUGAGAACUACUGUCUCCGUCCUGCGAAGCUUGAGCAUUUUUUUUAUAUUGUAAAAGUUUUUCCCUUUAUUCACAUUUUCACUUUUUCACCUAACACACUUAACACACAAAAGACUAACUCCUUAAAACUUUUGUCAAAAAUAAAUUGCUCAAGAUUCGUGGGACGGAGGGAUUAUUAUAUAUUUUGUUCUAUAUAUUUAUUUUAAUUCUAAUAUUUCAUGAAUUAUUAUUAUUUUAUUAUUUGAUGUUAAAAAAAUAAACAAUUGAACUUUAAUUUUAUGUAAUCUAUAAAAUUAAUUAUAUCAAUAAUAAUUUAUGAGAUAUCAAAAUAAGCAAACUUUGAAAUAUACUGCUAAUAUGUACUAAACGUGAAAGAUAAUAACUUUAUAAUCUUUAAAACUAUUUAUUUAUUUUAAAAAAUUGAUGCCAUAUGAAAAUUUCUUAGUGGCAUAUACUAAUAGCAAAAUACUACUUAAUUAAAUGUAAUAUGAAACACGUUUGGUAACACCUCAAGGCUGUUCAAUAUGGACUUAAGGGUCAUGCUUCGAGAACUGUACCUCGUCAUCCGGUCCAAUCGUAAUCAACGGUAAUAAUCUUAAAUCUAGAAACACUUGAAUUUGUUACACCUCUGUCUUAAUUUAAAAGGCCAUAAAGCUUGAACACGAAUAUUAAAAUAUAAAUAAUUUAUAAUAAAAUAAAAAAUAAAAGUAACUUUUCUAUAACAUAAAUUUGUGAAAAAAAUAAGAGAGAGAAAUAAAGAUACUGCCUUGAUCACACUCUAAUAUGUUCGUUUUUCUUUUUAAAACGUCUCACUAGAAUAGGCUCGUUUCCAUUUUGAAUAAUAAAAAAUGUACUCCCUCCGUCCCAAACGAAAUGUCCUAUUUCUUUUCGGCACGGAGAUUAAGAAAUGUGUAUAAAGUAGAUAAAGUGGGUUGGUGAAAAUUAUUUAAAUAUUAAGUAUAGAGAGAGUGUAUUGCCAAAAAAGGAAAUAGGACAUUUCGUUUGGGACAGCCCAAAAAGGAAAACAUGACAUUUCGUUUGGGACGGAGGGAGUAUUUAAUUAGUGUGGACCAUAUCACUUUUCUUCUAAAAAAUAAAUUUCUUAAUCUCCGUGUCUAAACAAAGUGAGAUUGUUAGAGUGAGACGAAAAGAGUAUUACUUUCUCUGUCCACGAAAGAAAUUCCUACUUUUCCUUUUUGGGACGUCUACGAAAUAAUUUUCUACUUAUUUUUGAACUAUAUACUUUUUAUUUUUCACCACUCUCAAUACUAACUAUAGCAUAUUUUUACCAUUCACAAUACACUCAACAACCGUUUCUCACACUUAACAACUUUUUCCUUAGAACUUGUGUCACUCCCUCUUAAGAAAUUUUUUCGUGGAUGGAUGAAGUAUUUUUUAAGUGAAAGAAGAGAUAAUUUUGUGGGGGCCACGAUAGCAUUUGAUGUAAAUAAUGAGUUGCGUAAGGGUAUUUAUUAUGUAUAAUUUUUCAUUUUAAAAAGUGGUAUAUUAAAUUGAGACGUCAAAAUAAGAAAACAUGGUCUAUUAAAUUGAGACGGAGGGAGUAUAACUUAUAAGAGCUCCACUCUUGUGCGCUCCAAGGGCCUUGAGCGCAUGAUGAGGUCCAAGCAUCCACCUCACGUUUUUUGACUCUUUGUCCUUCAACUCUCGUCCCUUUAGUGAUUUUUUUUAAUUAAUAGUAUUAUUUAAAAUGUCAAUUUCUUAGUAAGAAUAUACUAAGUCUUAUAUGUAAAUGAUACUCGUAUGUUGUACUCACACUAAAUGACAUUUUUAUUUAUG